rnacentral:rRNA from 1 species
UGUCCUUUUGAGAAUAAUUUAAGGUCUGAUCUGCCCACUGAAAAUUUAAAUGGCCGCGGUAUACUGACCGUGCAAAGGUAGCAUAAUAAUUAGUUUCUUAAUUAGAAGCUGGAAUGAAAGAUUGAAUGAGAAAAUAACUGUCUCAGUUUAAUUUUAUUAGAAUUUUAUUUUUAAGUUAAAAAGCUUAAAUAUAAUUAAAAGACGAGAAGACCCUAUAGAGUUUAAUUUUAUUUUAAAUUAAAAUUUUAUUGAUUAGAAUUUUUAUUAAUUUAAAAUAAAAUUUUGUUGGGGUGACAAAAAAAUUUAAUUAACUUUUUUUAUAUAAAAACAUAAAUAAAUGAAUUUUUGAUCCAAAUAUAUUGAUUAAAAGAUUAAAUUACCUUAGGGAUAACAGCGUAAUUUUUUUUAAGAGUUCUUAUCGAAAAAAGAGAUUGCGACCUCGAUGUUGGAUUAAAGUUUAAUUUUGGYGUAGAAGCUAAAAUUUUAGGUCUGUUCGACCUUUAAAACUUU